UUUCCGUAGGUGAACCUGCGGAAGGAUCAUUACCGAACCGUCGACACGAGCUGUUGCUGGCCCUCGAAAGGGGGCACGUGCACGCUCUGUUUACAAUAUCCACUCACACCUGUGCACCCUCUGUAGUUCUGUGGCCUUGGGGACCCUGUCCCCUUGCUGUGGUCCUACGUCUUUACACACACACUGUAAUAAGGUCUCAUGGAAUGUAUGUCGCGUUUAACGCAAUACAAUACAACUUUCAGCAACGGAUCUCUUGGCUCUCGCAUCGAUGAAGAACGCAGCGAAAUGCGAUAAGUAAUGUGAAUUGCAGAAUUCAGUGAAUCAUCGAAUCUUUGAACGCACCUUGCGCCCUUUGGCUAUUCUGAAGGGCAUGCCUGUUUGAGUAUCAUGAACACCUCAACUCUCAUGGUCUGCCAUGAUGAGCUUGGACUUUGGGGGUCUUGCCGGCCUAGCGCCGGCUCCUCUCAAAUGCAUCAGCUUGCCAGUGUUUGGUGGCGUCACAGGUGUGAUAACUAUCUACGCUUGUGGUUUUCUGCCAUGUAACCUUCAGUGAUGGAGGUUCGCUGGAGCUCACAGAAGUCUCUCCUCGGCGAGGACAGCUCUUUGAACGUUUGAUCUCAAAUCAGGUAGGACUACCCGCUGAACUUAAGCAUAUCAAUAAGCGGAGGAAAAGAAACUAACAAGGAUUCCCCUAGUAACUGCGAGUGAAGCGGGAAGAGCUCAAAUUUAAAAUCUGG
rnacentral:rRNA from 1 species